rnacentral:rRNA from 1 species
UACGUAGGGGGCUAGCGUUGUCCGGAUUCAUUGGGCGUAAAGAGCUCGUAGGCGGUGUGUCACGUCGGCCGUGAAAACCUGCAGCUUAACUGUGGGCGUGCGGUCGAUACGGGCAUCACUGGAGUUCGGCAGGGGAGACUGGAAUUCCUGGUGUAGCGGUGAAAUGCGCAGAUAUCAGGAGGAACACCGGUGGCGAAGGCGGGUCUCUGGGCCGAUACUGACGCUGAGGAGCGAAAGCGUGGGGAGCAAACAGG